AGUGAACGCUGGCGGUAUGCCUAACACAUGCAAGUCGAACGACAGCACAGUAAGAGCUUGCUCUUACGGGUGGCGAGUGGCGGACGGGUGAGGCAUACAUCGGAAUCUACUUUUUCGUGGGGGAUAACGUAGGGAAACUUACGCUAAUACCUCAUACGACCUACGGGUGAAAGCAGGGGAUCUUCGGACCUUGCGCGAUUGAAUUAGCCGAUGUCGGAUUAGCUAGUUGGCGGGGUAAAGGCCCACCAAGGCGACGAUCCGUAGCUGGGCUGAGAGGAUGAUCAGCCACACUGGAACUGAGACACGGUCCAGACUCCUACGGGAGGCAGCAGUGGGGAAUAUUGGACAAUGGGCGCAAGCCUGAUCCAGCCAUACCGCGUGGGUGAAGAAGGCCUUCGGGUUGUAAAGCCCUUUUGUUGGGAAAGAAAAGCAGCAGGUUAAUACCCCGCUGUUCUGACGGUACCCAAAGAAUAAGCACCGGCUAACUUCGUG
rnacentral:rRNA from 1 species